CCUGCCCUCCCUCCCUCACCCUGCCGCUGACAGCCUCUGGCCAAAGCCCUCGGCUCCCCCAGGGCCUGGACCACCGUCUCCCUUUGCCUGGGCCUGGCUGGCCCUCUCUGAGAGGACUAAGCACCUGCUGCGAGGAAGGACAGGGAUCCUCAGGAAGGGGGUCCUGGCCACUGUGGCUACUGUUUACCUGAAUCUCCUUCAUCUCAGCUCCUUCCUCCCUCCUCCCAGUGAAACAGAGAGAAGAAAACAAAUCCAUUCCACGGGCUAGGGAAUGUCGGUGAAACAACCUGGCCACACCGCACUUCUUAGAAGCAAAUAUUCUAUGGGAGAAACAAUCACAAGGGGUAACUCUAGAGCCUCAAGCACUGAAGUCAUCAACUGAGUUGGUGACACUCCAAACCCCCUUGGGCUGGGGUGCAAGAGCUGACGGACGCAGCCUUGGCGGCCACCUUCUCCUUCAAGCUCCUUGGCCAGGUGGGAGCCGUCAGGUCCACAUGCACACCUCCAACACUUCCCAAGCGAUGGCCAGCGCUAAAGCAGAAGCAAUAGGAUGACAUCUGCUGGUGCGUCUGUAUCCAGGCCGGGCAUACGUGUGCUCUGGAGGUGCCCCUGAGGGAGGGGCCUCAGAGCAGCAGGGGGAAGAGUCUGGCUCCUGGAACACAUAGUGUUCCCUGCUUGGGGGAGACUUUCCUGCCCUCCUUCUUCCUCCUACGUCCUUGCUCUGUGGGCCAUUCCUUCUCUUCUAGCCUUACUGGAAACAACAUUCUUCCAACUGAAGAUGUAACUGAGGCCUGAAUUAUGGUAAAGGAAGAUUAUUACAACAGCCUUUAAAAUACUUGCCUAAGCUGAGCUCCUGAAGAAACUUGGACCUGUCUCCUUGACCACGCCUUUAGUACGUCUGCCGGCCCGAGAGUCCUCUUUUACAGUAAUGUUGACCAUAUUCCUAACUAAAGCAAGACCUGACCAGCUGCCAAAUAGUCCUCCCCCUCCCCCCAGUGGAAGAAAUGGCUACUGCUAUUCAACACUGAGAAUGCCAGAACAGCUCUGUGGGGCUCCACUGAAAACCUGCAGCAGGGAGGCUGAUGAUGGGAGCUGCUUAGAGAGCUUCCGAAUCUACUUCAGGUAAAUAUGGACCUGUAUGUAUCUCCUGCAGCACCCGCACCUGACAUCCAUGGCUCUGAGGCCCAGAAAGAGCUGAGGAGGUCAUAGAGAUCAUCAAUGCUCUGCUUGCUUUGAUGUACCAUUAAGAAGACGAUCUUUCCUCUAACAGCCCCAUACAACUGAGCAGCGCCACCACGUCAUACCGGUACCCUUUUCUUUACCCCUUAAAGAAUACCCAGGAAAGAAAGAUAACUAAAGGAAGUAAAGGACCAGAUCUUUUACCACCUUCCUGCGUGGGUGAUCCAUCCUCUUCCUCUAUAACAUCAUUUCCCUAGGACAGAAGGAAGGCCCUGUGAGUCUAUGAAGCGGCAAAAUGAGUAAACUGAUUGGCUGAAGACAGAACUAAUCAUCCUACUGGUAUCUAACUCCAGGGCCUACGUUAAUAGCAUAUAUUUCCAUCUGUGUUUAAUAUGCCUCAGAGGCUGAGUAGAGGCAGAUCUUGCUUGGAGAGGCACCAUCUGCCUACAGGGAUUAGAUCCGAGCCACAUUACCCAUAUAUGCUCAGAAUGGUCUGUCAGGAACACCCUUGUUAAUAGUUUAGCUGAUACUGUUUCUCUAAGGUGGAAGUAAAAAUUACUAAAUGAAAGAGCAAAUUGUGAGAUCAUAAGACUUUCAGAAAUCCCUUAAGAUCCCAAACCCCAUCCAGAUCCUCCAUUGACAGGAGUUGGCUCAAGAAGAGUUCUAGGGCUCUCACUGUGAGCUGGCGUUCCACAGCACACCAUGGUCAGGGCACGUCUCACACUGAACUGUGGUCCUGUCUGCCUGCUAGACUGGGCUCCUAGAUGGGUGCAGUGGGCUGGGGGUAGGCAG
rnacentral:lncRNA from 1 species